GCUCACGCUAAGCGACGGCCCGGUUUGCGAUGACCUCGUUCUCUGGAAGACACUCAUCCCAGCGUUCUGUGAAAUGAUCACCUUGGAAGAACUGAAUCUGGACUUAUCCAUCGGAUAUGAAAUCUUCCCCGAAGUGACCGCUCUCUUAGCCGAAGUGGUUCUUCACUGCCCAACCAUACGACUCCUCCAGCUACCUCGGCAAGGACAAUCCUGCCGCGGCCAGUUCCUGAAUGGUGACCGAGAUCCACGAUAUAACGUGGCGCAUUGGAUGAGAGCGUGGCUCAAAGCU
rnacentral:misc_RNA from 1 species